UGCAACUCCCCCUUAAUGAGUGCCUAGACUUUGAAUUUCAUCACAUGACUUGAGUCAUUUGGCACAAAAAGGGAUGAACUGAGGAGAUGCACAUGUACCGUAUCAACAGUGGGGUGUAAACAAACGUGUGUGACAAAUAUAUGCGAUGCAUAUGACAGUCAUGCACUUCAACAAAUAAAUAAAAAGAAUUUAUGACAGAGGGUCCGGAGAUUUCCGAAAAACACUCUGGAGAUUUCUGGACAACUCUGUCAACAACACAAACAAUCAUAUGUCUAAGCACGAUUACACCCAACCAAAAGUUCACACUCACAUAGUGUUUCACAAAUAAAGUCUUACACCAAAGAAAGAUAGAUAAAGAAAGAUACAUCCAUCCUCCUCCCAUAAAUCACUCCCCCUUUGGCAUCAAGCACCAAAAAGGAAGUGAAGAACAUUGAGAUCUACUCCCCAUCGUCAUAGUCCUCAUCAUCCUCCUCCUCCU
rnacentral:lncRNA from 1 species